rnacentral:rRNA from 1 species
UCUGCCCUUCCGCUUUAACAUUGCAAAUUCGAGCGCCCCGCAAGGGGAGCGGCAGACGGGUGAGUAACGCGUGGGUCUCUACCCAUCUCUACGGACUCCCCAGGGAAACUUGGACUAAUACCGUAUACGUCCUUCCUGAGAAAGAUUUAUCGGAGAUGGAUCACCCCGCGUUGGAUUAUCUAGUUGUUGGGGUAAAGGCCUACCAAUGCGAUUAUCCAUAUAUGGACUGAGAGGAUGAUCACCCACACUGGGACUGAGACACGGCCCAGACUCCUACGGGAGGCAGCAGUGGGGAAUAUUGCUCAAUGGGCGCGAGCCUGAUGCAACAACGGCGCGUGAGGCAUGACGGUCUUCGGGUUGUAAACCUCUUUCGAUAUGGAACGAGCGAAUGUGACUGCCCCUACAGAAGAAGCACCGGCUAACUACCUGCCAGCCGCCGCGGAAAUACGUUGGGUGCCAGCGUUGUCCGGAAUUAUUGGGCGUUUAGAGCUUGUAGGCGGAUUGUCUCGUCUGCUGUGAAAAUCCGGGGCUCAGCCCCGGACUUGCAGGGGGUACGGCGAGACUACAGUGUGGUAGGGGACACUGGAAUUCCUGGUGUAGCGUUGAAAUGCGCAGAUAUCAUGAGGAACACCGAUGGUGAAGGCAUGUCUCUGGGCCACUACUGACGCUGAGAUGCGAAAGCGUGCGGAGCGAACAGGAAUUAGAUUCCCUGGUAGUCCACGCCGUAAACGUAUGGAACUCGGUGUGGGUCCCAUUCCACUAGAUCCGUGCCGAAGCCUAACGACUUAUGCUCUCUGCCCUGGGGAGUACCGCCGCCAAGAUUAAUAACUCUAAGGAAAUGACGGGGGCCCGCACAAUCGGUGGAGUCAUGUGGUUUUAUUCGAAGCCUCGCGCAAAUUCUUACCAAUUCUUUGACAUCCGGGACGCGGUUUCAAGAUAUGGAUCUCUUCAAUUCGGAUGGGAACCGCUACAGGUGCUGCAUGCCCUGUCGUACUCUCGUUGUGUGGACAU